UGGGGAAUAUUGGACAAUGGGGGCAACCCUGAUCCAGCCAUGCCGCGUGUGUGAAGAAGGCUUUCGGGUUGUAAAGCACUUUCAGUGGGGAAGAAGGCCUGCGGGUUAAUAGCCGGCAGGGACGACAUCACCCACAGAAGAAGCACCGGCUAACUCCGUGCCAGCAGCCGCGGUAAUACGGAGGGUGCGAGCGUUAAUCGGAAUUACUGGGCGUAAAGCGCGCGUAGGCGGCGUGAUAAGCCGGUUGUGAAAGCCCCGGGCUCAACCUGGGAACGGCAUCCGGAACUGUCAGGCUAGAGUGCAGGAGAGGAAGGUAGAAUUCCCGGUGUAGCGGUGAAAUGCGUAGAGAUCGGGAGGAAUACCAGUGGCGAAGGCGGCCUUCUGGACUGACACUGACGCUGAGGUGCGAAAGCGUGGGUAGCAAACAGG
rnacentral:rRNA from 3 species